rnacentral:rRNA from 1 species
GACGAACGCUGGCGGCGUGCUUAACACAUGCAAGUCGAACGGAAAGGCCUGCUUUCCCUUGUGGAUUGCGGGUACUCGAGUGGCGAACGGGUGAGUAACACGUGAGUGAUCUGCCCCCAACUUGGGUAUAAGCCUGGGAAACUGGGUCUAAUUCCCGAUAGGACUGCAGGGUGGUGCCUGUGGUGGAAAACGAUUUUCUAGUGGUUGGGGAUGAGCUCGCGGCCUAUCAGCUUGUUGGUGGGGUAAUGGCCUACCAAGGCGGCGACGGGUAGCCGGCCUGAGAGGGUGGACGGCCACAUUGGGACUGAGAUACGGCCCAGACUCCUACGGGAGGCAGCAGUGGGGAAUAUUACACCAUGGGCGGAAGCCUGAUGCAGCGACGCCGCGUGGGGGAUGACGGCCUUCGGGUUGUAAACUCCUUUCGACCGCGAGGAAGCCACCUGGUUGGAAGGGUGGUGACGGUAGUGGUAGAAGAAGCACCGGCUAACUACGUG